CCUGGCUGCUGCCCGCCUUCCCCCCGCCGCCGCCGCGGACGCCGCCGCCGUACCUCUUCCUGUCGCCUCCCUGCUGAUGGCCCGGCCCUUGCGAGGCCGUAGACCUCGAGGGGCUGCGGGCGGAGAAGCUGGCCGCUUGUCGGAGCCUGUGCGGAUGGGGGGACACAGCCCUUGGCGUGAGGAAAUGAAAACAAGACUUUACAUCGUUCAGACUGGACAGAGCAUGAGGAGGAGGGGCAGAGAGAGAGGGAGAC